GACGAACCGUGCGAACGUUGUUCGGAUUCACUGGACUUAAAGGGCGCGUAGGCGGCUUGCCAAGUCAGGGGUGAAAUCUUUCGGCUUAACCGGAAAAGUGCUUCUGAUACUGGCAGGCUGGAGGGAGGUAGGGGGCAGAUGGAACUUCCGGUGGAGCGGUGAAAUGCGCAGAUAUCAGGAGGAACACCGGUGGCGAAGGCGGGUCUCUGGGCCGAUACUGACGCUGAGGAGCGAAAAGCGUGGGGGAGCGAACAGG
rnacentral:rRNA from 1 species